ensembl:lncRNA
CUAAAUCCCUUGAACUUGAUGUAGCAGAGCUUUUUUGGCCUGGGGUAUGGAAUAAGCUUUGAAGUCUUUCAGGCCUCAGCCACACUAACCAGCUGUGUGAUUACAGGCAGGCUGCUUUAUCCUUGACUCAAUUUCCUCCCCUAUGAAAAGAGAAUCAUAAGGCUGUUGUGAGUAGGAAAUGAGAGGACAUCUGAAAGCAAGACCCCAGCACAUCAGCUCUGUUCUUCGGCCACAGCCUGCCAUCCCACUGUGGAAGGGUGAAAUAUGCAAGGUUCUGCACUGCGGACACUCGCAUUUACUGAUCUCAGAGAAUCAGGAGGGGCCUCGAAGUUCAGGAGUUCAAAUUUUAAUCCAGCUCUGCUCUGGGUCCUGCUGAUGAAUUUACGUUUUAAUUUUUCAUCCGCGGCUCGGCACCAGACAUCACACAAAUAAAUGAAUGCAUAAAUAAAAUUCAUGAAGUCGGGCUGGGGAUUUGAAGCUGAGAGGUCUUGCUGCGUUUCAGGGACGAGUUUGAACAUCAGAGCCUCCUCGUCCUGUUAUUAAUAACUAUGCAGAACCCUGUAACGAAGGGACAAAGUAGGUCAGUCCCAGCUGCAGCAAAACAGAACAGCGGAGGAAUUAUCAAAGAAAUUAAAAAGCCUGCAUGGCCACCGCAAAGCACACUUUUAUAGGCUUUCUUCUGGUGAUAAUCCUGUGAGUCAAACUCAUGGCAGUGGAUUGACUUUUCACCCUUUUCAAAAAAGCAGCAAUUCACCAGCAUUCAAGGUUUGUGUGGAAAAGGGCGGCGAGCAUGUGAAAAUUAAAAGCAUAGAAACCUAGAGAAGCUUCCACCCCAGUCUAAUGUUAUUCUUACAUCACUUUUUGCUCUUUCUCGGGGUUCUGUCUUCCUGUAUAAAAUAAUAAAAUAAUUUCAGUUUUCUCUCAACUCCAA